CGUGACAUAUGAGGAUGGCCAUGUGACCUUCACUCAGGAAGAUUGGGCUUUGCUGGAUCCUUCCCAGAAAAAGCUCUACAAAGAUGUCAUGCUGGAGACCUACAGGAACCUCAGUGCUGUAGGCUUUAUUUGGGAAGACCAAAAUAUUGAAGAAUAUUGUCAAAGAUCUAGAAGACUCAGAAGGCACACAGAAUUGCUAAUGAGAAGACUUCCCCAGAUUUCCCAGAAUGCAACAUCGUCUCCGCCCACUAUCGCUUGGACCCGCCUACCAGAUACUCAUCUCCACCUCCGCAGCAGCUUCUAAGGGACUCAAGGGCAGGCUGGGAAUCCUUCCUUGUACUUAAGAAAGUCCGAUUAUUAAACGAGAGUGCUCUGAUCAGCGAAUCGACAGGGCAUCAUUCAUUUUCCUUUAGCAGCCCUAUUCUCUUUCAGGAUGUUUAAACCCUUCAGUACGAACCCAGUCCGAAGUGUUUGUGCGCAUGAGGGAACACACAUUCAAGUACAGGAAAAGAACUUUUAUAGAAAAGAAUAUGCAAAGCAGAGCAAUGUAAUAAUGUUAAUACUAUCUCAGGUAUCUUUUUUUAAAAUUAUUUAUUAUAUG